UACGAAGGGGGCUAGCGUUGCUCGGAAUCACUGGGCGUAAAGCGCACGUAGGCGGAUCGUUAAGUCGGAGGUGAAAUCCUGGAGCUCAACUCCAGAACUGCCUUCGAUACUGGCGAUCUUGGAGUCCGGGAGAGGUGAGUGGAACUCCGAGUGUAGAGGUGAAAUUCGUAGAUAUUCGGAAGAACACCAGUGGCGAAGGCGGCUCACUGGCUCGUUACCGACGCUCAGGCGCGACAGCGUGGGGAGCAAACAGG
rnacentral:rRNA from 1 species